CACGGGGGGAGCAGGCGUUGUUCGGAAUCACUGGGCGUAAAGGGCGUGUAGGCGGUCAGGUAAGUGGAAUGUGAAAUCCCUCGGCUCACCCGAGGACCUGCAUCCCAAACUGCCUGGCUUGAGUAUGGGAGAGGAUGAGGGAAUUCCUGGUGUAGCGGUGAAAUGCGUAGAUAUCAGGAGGAACACCGGUGGCGAAGGCGCUCAUCUGGCCCAACACUGACACUCAGACCCGAAAGUGCGGGGAUCAAACAGG
rnacentral:rRNA from 1 species